GAGGUGGCAGGAGGUGGUAGGAGGAGGAGGGAGGUGGCAGGAGGUGGCAGGAGGAGGAGGGAGGUGGUAGGAGGUGGAAGGAGGUGGCGGGAGGUGGUAGGAGGAGGAGGGAGGUGGUAGGAGGUGGCAGGAGGUGGCAGGAGGUGGUAG